rnacentral:rRNA from 1 species
CGUGGGUAACCUGCCUUAUAGUGGGGGAUAGCCUUUCGAAAGGAAGAUUAAUACCGCAUAAGAUUGUAGUAUCGCACGAUAUAGCAAUUAAAGGAGCAAUCCGCUAUAAGAUGGACCCGCGUCGCAUUAGCUAGUUGGUGAGGUGAUGGCUCACCAAGGCGACGAUGCGUAGCCGACCUGAGAGGGUGAUCGGCCACAUUGGGACUGAGACACGGCCCAGACUCCUACGGGAGGCAGCAUG